ACGUAGGGUGCGAGCGUUAAUCGGAAUUACUGGGCGUAAAGCGUGCGCAGGCGGUUUCGUAAGACAGAUGUGAAAUCCCCGGGCUUAACCUGGGAACUGCACUUGUGACUGCAUGACUAGAGUGCGUCAGAGGGAGGUGGAAUUCCGCGUGUAGCAGUGAAAUGCGUAGAGACGCGGAGGAACACCGAUGGCGAAGGCAGCCUCCUGGGUUGACACUGACGCUCAUGCACGAAAGCGUGGGGAGCAAACAG
rnacentral:rRNA from 1 species